ACUAGUUGAACUCAAUUCAUCUCGCCCUCCAAUUUGUUUUGUAAGGGUAAUUGAAACAUAUAUAUUUUGAUCCAAAAUUCUUGUUUAAUUUGUUUAUAGAUUUUCAUUAUAAUUAAAUUGUAUCCUGAAUUAAGAAUUAUUUACAUAUACAACAUGAAAAGAUUCCAAGAUCUGUGAUGAUAAUUACUCUGCUAUCGAUUAACACAUCUAAUUUGUUUUAAGAAAAUAACAGUUAGUAACCACUCAACAACUCAUCUCUUAGAAGUUAAAGUUAUGUUCUAUCAUAUCAAUCUUCUGCAAUCCUCUUUUUGAGAUUCCAAACAUAUUAAUCUCAAUUCUGCAAGAAAAUUCUCAGCACUACUAAUAUAAAAUUCCACUUCCUUAAAUUCAGAAAGUCAAUCACAUAAUUAAUAGCUUAAAUUCCACUUUUUAUUUGCUACUAUUUUUUCGAUGCUUAUAUGCAAUCAGUAUGUAUCAUAUCUUGUUGAUCCUAUAUGUAUGGAGUACACUCAUUCAUCAGCUCUGUGCAAUGUCUUUGGUAUAUAUAUCUGAUGUCUGGAACUUUUGAUUUUAAUCUGUGUCUUUGUUGCUCUAUUUUUGUGUCUUCUACCUUUAGAAGUUUUGUAGGCUUAGAAAUGGUUCAAACAUCAAUAUAGUUUAAUCCCCUGGUUGCCAAUCAUAUAUGUGUAGUCAAUUAGAGCCAACAUUAUAGCAACAUUUGUAGGCUCCAAGCUUUACAGCAACUUGUAGGUGACAGACUUUAAGAAUGGUUUCGUUCAUCUGGUUACCUUGUAUCUAACUUCAGCAUAAAAAUGUUCGUAACUUAGUUCAUUGACAUAGUUCAUCCCCUAGCACCAGUACAAAACAACACAAAAAGAGCUGAUACCUGUUCUGUAAGAAUAGCAUAAUUCUGACCCUCAGACUCCAAAAGAAUGAGGAUGGCUACAGUUGGUCCUCGUGCAAAAAUAAUGCCUGGAACCUAUUCCACUUCUGUAAGUAAGCAUAAGCUGGUGCAAACGACUCUCAUGUGAAGCAUAAGCUGAAGAAACUAGAAUAAUUUAUCACUAGGACUCUAGGAGGACCUUUGAUAGGACCCUGACACCUUUCUACUUCUUGUCCAAUUGGGAUUCUAACUAGUUACAGAAACCUCUGCUAGUAUGGAUGGGGCACUUUAGCUGGUGCAAACGACUCUCAUGUGAAACACAUAUGAAUAGUUAAUUCCACAUAUAGAGAAUGCUUUAAGGUUUUUUAUCAUUUAUAGUACAUGUUAUGUAGUCUGAACAGAGAAUGACUAAAUUGGACAGUCUGACUGAAGAAUAGCACUGAAAACUUUAUUUUUAACUAUCAACUACACGUUUGUAAGACCUAAUUGACAUCACUGCAAAUCCAUUCUAUAGCAGCAACACACUACAUAUUAUCAAAUUCAUGCAGUCUCUUAUUAUCUCAUAUCCAUACUCUGGUUUAGUUUGAGUAUAAUUUGACAAAUGGUAAAACAUUAUUUGAGACAUGAAAUCUGGAAAUUAUUUGACUAUGUUAAUAAGCCUUUGAUCAACACCAUUGAAUAAGUAAAUUAUUUGACUAUGUUAAUAAGUGCAAAGUGGAAAUUGGAGACAUGAAAUCUAGAAAUGGUUGAGCAUUGCGAAAGUGAGACCUUUAGUUUUGAGCCGCACAUCUUUAUAUUGGGCUACAUUCUAUAUUUAUGAUGUUUGCAAACUUGUGUUUGUGUAUCACUUUUAUGAUCGCUCAAAAUAUCAAUGUACUAAUUGUUUACUGCUUUUGGUAUUCUCCUUCACUAAAAAAUCUAUGAAUUAGUGUCCUCAUCAACACCAAGAAUCUCAUGACUGUGGAUAUUAUGUGUGCCGAUAUAGCUCGAGACUGUAGAGAAAAGGCGACAAGCAAUUCCUGAUAAGUACUUUGGCGGAGUUACAACUGAAUUUUCUCAAAAUAAACUUGAUGAGCUCAGAGACUUGUGGAUCAAAAAUAUGUGGAUGAAUAUAAACAAGUGGAUGAAGAAGAAUUGGAAGAUAAUGACCAUUUUAAUUAGGAUGUGUGUAUUUUCUUUUUGCGCAGGAUUAGGGAGGUGCUUCUAUUUUUGUGCACAUGACUUGGAAGAAACGACAGGCCUAGGUGUUCUAUUAUUUUUUUAUAACUUAGUUGAAUUUUUGGAAUCUUUUAAACAUUAUAUGUGAUUUUGUAGUGAAUAAUAUUAAAUGAAUGAAAAAGUAUUCCAAUUUUAAA